UUCAUCAAGAAAGUGAAAAUGGACUUUUACAAACUCUUUAUCAAUGUGUACUGUAUAUUUGUUACUUUAUGCCUGACAAACUGCGAAGAAUGUGUAAAGGUGGACAACUGUCGGUGCAGAACUUCUAAGGGAACUGUAGACUUAAAUAGGAUGCCGAAAUCAUCAUCAAUAAUCAACAUUAAAUGUAAUAGAAGUACACCGGGAUUAUUGACCUCAGUAACAGAAGGCCCUAUACCAGCGUUUGUACGAAACAAAAUACAUGGAUAUAUUGACAUUUACAAGACUUAGUGCUAUUUCAUCUGGAAGCAACUUUGGAUAUAAUAUAAUUCUUGGCUUUAUCUGAUAACUGUUUUCACAUUACUUAUCAAGAUAUGACAUACGGUGACAGCUGAGAGGGCGGCAAUAUGAGAUGCUCAAUAUGUUAUCUGGAUUUCUGAAUGACAUUUCCUUCGGAGCAACAAUAUCCUUAUCAGUAGGGAAAUCAAUAUGAAUACAGAGAACAGUUUUACAUACUAAAUACUGAAUGUGUUUAGUUCAUACUUAUUUAUUUUAGCUAGAUUGUGAUGAAAGCUUCAAGUUUAUUUCAACCACUCUUGAGUCCUCAACCUGGAGAAACAAGUACUGGUGUCAUAUCUAUUUGACUGAUUUAUAGAUUAUUGUUAAAUUACGUCAAAUCAGUAUCAUAUACAUGUAAUGGUUAAUUAUUGAUUCAUUGUGUUGAGUAUUAUAUUUAAUAUUCAGAGAUAAUGGUAGAACAUUUGUAAAUUGCUUUUGAAUUUUCACUGUUUGUGGAAAUCGUACAAUUUCAAUUUCAAGUGUUUGCCUUAUGUUUGUUUCUUAAUAUUACAAGAUAUGUAAUCAGUGUUUAAAUACGCCUGAUCGCUAUAAGCUAUUGAAAUAAUUUCUAUUUAAAUUUGCAAGCAAAUAUAAUCAUUACUUUGUCAUCUUGUAAAACUUGAAAAUCUGUUAUAUAUUUUGUUUUCUUCCUUUUCAGAACAUUUUUUCUAUCUAUUGGACUAAUUGCUAGUUAAUGGUGUUGACAUAAUUUAGUGAGUGAACAAUAUGGCUUCCAGACUACUUAAAGUUUUAAAGUACUUCGAAACAUUCUUCUCCUGAAGAUUUUAAUACUUUUGUUUCUGGAAAAAAUGCUUGCAUGAUUAGGUUAGAAAACAAGACUUCCAAUCAGGAUUUAGUAUAUAUGUGUAUAAUGCAUUUACCACAUAAUGUCAUAUUUCUUUUCACCUUUCACAAUUUACGACCAAUGCAAUUAUAUUAAGCAGAUAUAACAAGGAAACAUUGUAUGGAAUGGAUUCUGAAGUCUAGGCAAUUCAUAGUCAAACACUGAGCAAUAUCAAAUUCGAAUGUCGUCGUUAAUAGCAAUGGAAUUUGAACAUUUUAAUGUACCAUAUUACCGCAUCUCUUUCCCGCACUAAUAUAUAUGCUUCCAUAUACAUGUAGCUGGUAGUAAUAAAGUUUGCAUAUUU